rnacentral:rRNA from 1 species
UUCUUUUAGUUUUAUUUUAAAUGUAUAUUCUGCCCUAUGAUUAUUUAAAUGGCUGCAGUAUUUUGACUGUGCAAAGGUAGCAUAAUAAUUAGUCAUUUAAUUGUUGACUUGUAUGAAUGAAUGAAUGAGGUAUAAUUUUUAUUAAUUUAAUUAUUAGAAUUUUAUUUUUUAGUAAAAAAGCUUAAUUGAUUUUUAGGGACGAAAAGACCCUAUAGAACUUUAUUAGUUUUUAAUUUAUUUUAUUUAGUUUUUUAUUUUAUUAAAUUUUAUUAAUUUUUUUGGUUGGGGUGAUAGUUAAAUUUAACUUUAAUUAUUUUUUUCAUUUUUUCUAUGUUUUUAUUGAUCCUAAAAUUUAGAUUAUAAGUUUAAGUUACCUUAGGGAUAACAGCGUAAUUUUAAUGGAAAGUUCAUAUUUAUAUUAAAGUUUGCGACCUCGAUGUUGAAUUAAGAUAAGGGAAAGGGGCAGGUUCUUUUCUUUUAAGUCUGUUCGACUUUUAUACUCUU